ACCGGAGAGGGAGCCUGAGAAACGGCUACCACAUCCAAGGAUGGCAGCAGGCGCGCAAAUUACCCAAUCCCGACACGGGGAGGUAGUGACAAUAAAUAACAAUACGGGGUUCUUUAGGAUCUCGUAAUUGGAAUGAGUACAAUUUAAAUCUCUUAACGAGGAACAAUUGGAGGGCAAGUCUGGUGCCAGCAGCCGCGGUAAUUCCAGCUCCAAUAGCGUGUAUUAAAGUUGUUGCAGUUAAAAAGCUCGUAGUUGAAUUUCGGGGUUAGUAGGUUGGUCAUGCCUCUGGUAUGUACUGGUCUCACUGAUUCCUCCUUCCUUAUGAACCGUAAUGCCAUUAAUUUGGUGUUGCGGGGAAUUUGGACUGUUACUUUGAAAAAAUUAGAGUGUUUAAAGCAAGCUAACGCUUGAAUACAUUAGCAUGGAAUAAUGAAAUAGGACGUUCGAUCUUAUUUUGUUGGUUUCUAGGAUUGACGUAAUGAUUAAUAGGGAUAGUGGGGGGCAUUAGUAUUCAAUUGUCAGAGGUGAAAUUCUUGGAUUUAUUGAAGACUAACUACUGCGAAAGCAUUUGCCAAGGAUGUUUUCAUUAAUCAAGAACGAAAGUUAGGGGAUCGAAGACGAUCAGAUACCGUCGUAGUCUUAACCAUAAACUAUGCCGACUAGGGAUCGGAUGAUGUUAAUUUUUUAAUGACUCAUUCGGCGCCUUACGGGAAACCA
rnacentral:rRNA from 1 species